ACUUCUCACAGCUCAAAAAGCACAGCAAAACAGGAGUCAAAUAAAAGGCAAUGGAUUAGAGGCAGGAACCUGCAUGUGUUUCAGGUACCAAUAGUCACAAUGAAAACUGUGGAGAAUGAAGUGCUGUGAGAGCCGCAGGCAUGGGGAGCAGUCAGAAUUCUUUGAGGAGGAGGAAGUGGGGGCUGUCCAACUGGCAGCGACCACAGCUCACUGAACGUAAACGGAACAUAUGAUGGUAUAACGUACAGACAGCUUUGUUCAAACUAGAAAAACAGAUGAGAUCUAAAACUCCAAACAUCAGCCCAAUAGUCAACGGCUCUAACUAAUUUCAGAUGCUGAAAGACCUUCUUCAAGGUCUUUACAACAACUUGCACCAUUUUAUAGAGCAUCACAGCUCAAAAAGCAGUUCAGAGAUGUUUUAAGUGCUUGUACAGCUCCCCGACCAGGACCAAAGCAAGGAAGUAUGUCCUAUUCUGUUCAGUACCAGUUACAACCCCUAGAGACGUUGGAUCUUCAAGUAAUGCAAUCUCCUUUAUUGAGAAGAGCAGAAAAGAAGACAGAGAAACUACAGUAUAAUUAAGUAUGAAGAACAAAAGCAGUAAUGAAGAAGAAUUUGAUAAGAUGUCAUAACACAAAUAACAACACAGCAACAAAAAGGUACAGUUUCUCUGAAUACUAAUGUGCAGGAAUAAAUUGCAGAUCCCAGAAGCAGUCUUAAGCAUGCCAAUAAUUUGCUCAUUUUGCUCCAAAACUCCAAAUUAGAAUAGGAUUCCUGUACCACCAGCUUCAUUCCUACAUUUAAUAACAAAGCGCCUUAUUCAUGACACUUGGUGCACCCUGGCUUUAUCAGAAAUUGACUAGCCAUUCAGGCUCAUAUUCAGGAAUAACUUAUCACUCCCACAAUUGAUGAAAUACCAAUGUAGUAAAGAAAAGAGGCUUUUAGAAUAUAAACAUAUUAAUUUCUGUUCCACUGAAAGUAAAUGUUUUCACUUCCAAUCUGACGUCUUUGGGCUCUCAGCCACAGGUGUGCAAGAAUCAUUUUUGCAGGCAAAGAAACAAACAAGCAAAUAGCCUGGGAUGCAACUUUUCUUACCUAAAGCUGUGUAUGUGUGUUUUUCAAGAAACUUACAAAGCAGCAGUUGAAAGUUAACUCUUGCAGAGAAUGACACCACAGAGAUAUCAGGGCAGACGUUCUUCCCCUCCAAGAUGCACAGCUGAGAAGAGUUUCCCCAGUUCAGGCUCAGGAGCUCUCUGAGCUAAAGCUACUUCUCCCACAUAAAGCUCAUGGGCUGCUGAUGCUCAGACUCAACUGCCUGGGGGAGUUCCAAUGACAUACAGGGUCUACAGACUUGGCAACAAAAAGUUGAGCUAAAUAGAACCAUUUCUGAAUUUUGGUCAACUUCUGCAAAAGAUUUUUAGCUUGGGAUAUAAGAAAAUACCUCAGCAGUUCCUUUCAGGUAUUCUGGACUAUUUGCUUUUAAAGUUGGAUUGUAAGGAGGCAAAAGUGCUAUGGAAGAUACACAGGAAAUGGUAACUACUCCAGUGAAGGCAACACCUCAGCACACUGCUAGACAUAUUCUACCUGAACAAUAAAUGACUAAAUUUUAAGAUAACUAACAUUUACAAUCUCUUCAUAUACAUUCCAAAGAUUUAUGGUACAUACAUUAAACAUUCUGCAGGAUGAAGUAAGAAGACCACCUCAUAUGGAAGAAUGCACAUGGCCAAGGAUUUAAAAAACUCCAGUUAUCCAAGUUCAAAUGAAAAUUAAAGAAGCUAAAGAAAUUCAAUUCAGUUCAACAUAGCAAGUUCAGAGAAAGGCUAUUUACUGGUUACACUUCCAGUUUGUAAAAUGUAUUUCAUUUUCUUGCAAAGCCAUUACACAAGGAAAGCAUUUAGACUACGCCUGAUCUGCAGCUGACCAAGAAGACACGAACCGCUACAGCCGUGCCAGGUACUCUCACUUCUUCACCUUCCAACAUCCUGCUACACUGCAGGGAGCAGACAGCAAGUAACAUUCACACUAAGUUGCUUGAUGAGCUCAGCAAAUAGCAUCUUACGAGUUUCAGAAAGCACAGGCCCACCAUAUACAGGUGCCAAAUUGCAAGAUCUUGAGCAAGGCCUGAAGUUGCAGUAAAUAUACCCUUCAAGUCUGAAAAAAACCUUCACUAAGCACAUAAAAUUUGUACUGUUUUAACAGUUAGAACCACAGAGUGGAGAGGUUCUUUUCCAUUUCUUUUUAAUAAAUUAUUCUUAUUGCAUGUAAAAUCCAAGGCAAAAAUUACCUCAUAAUACAGCAGUCCUUACAUUUUCAGAGACCUACAAGUUUAAGCCAUGCCAUCCUACUUCAGGUAUCAGUUCACUCAACCAAGAUGGAUGGUCUUGUGUAACUCACUUUCAAAGAAAGCCUUAGUUAGAUGGCAGUGCACUAAAAUUGGUUAGGAGUAAAUUCAAAUAUUAUUAGCCUUAGCACGUGCACAUCUGAAACCUUCUACAGCUAAUAGUAAAAUACUCACUUCAUAAAGGGUGUAAGUUAACUGAUUUGGAAUGCAGACGUGAGGUUUUAUGAAGGCUUUGUACAUGACAGCUUCCUUUUCUUGAGGAACUGGGAACGCCACGAUAAACAGAUGAAGAUGAAAGUGGAAGUAAAAAAGCAAGCUGUGAGAUACGCAUCACCAGCAGCAUGUGGUAUAGGACUAUGUUUGGUGAUGUAGGCCACAGCAGGCUCUAUUUCUGAUUUUUUAAUGCACAAGAUUGCAUACAUGCAUAUAUUGCGAUGCAUGAUCUCUGGUGAGUGCAAGCAGCACUACUGAAAAGCACACAGUCACCUCUGUGAAGGAAUUCCCUUCCAGCAAACUUGAGGUUUAUGGGGUAGGUAUUUUAAAACUUGCCUGUACUUUGCUAAAAUCUCCUAACUCUUUUAAAACUCAGCAGAUACAGAUAUACAAAUACUAACUAAUACCAUUUCAGGGAUUCCCAUAUGCCACUUUCAAAAAAGUGGAGAAAAAUAUGCAAGUGAACAAAUAAAAGGCUUUUAAAAAACAGACCAGUCCUUGGAGUUGGUGCUUUAUGCUGCAAAAAUUACCAUGACUGGCACAUGAUGAGAAGGGCCGAGCAGGGCUAUCAGCGGUGCACAGUCACACAGGAUGACACUAUCUGAGCUAGCAAUGACAAAUGACCGAGCAACACGAGCAAGAGUUUACAAAGAGGAAAAAACAUCAUGGUUGUUUUUUGGGGGGAGAAGGAACAAAGAGACGGGGAAAAACCAUUAACAAACUUCUCUUCAAAAGGUCUAGGAGCUCUCUAUCCAGUCUCCAUGUCAAGAGCAGCCUUUUGGCCACUUGAAUUAUCCAGCAGCAGCUUCAUUUCAUGUCAUCUCACUUGUGGUAAGACAUCCCCUUUGUCCUCUCCCCACAGCUCCUUAUGCCCUGUUGGCUAAUGGACAGAGCCAGGAAUCUUGAGUUUACUGCCAGAAUUUUUGUGAAGCAACUUUCUAAAUGUGAAGCACUGAAGAAUGAUGAAGUUCCCCCUUAACAAUAAAUCAUCAAAAAGAGACGGUAACCAAGACAAGGUAACCUCUGAACUGUAUGUUACAAUUGUCCUCCUGCACUGUCUACAAAGAGAAAAGUCAAUAUGUCGGGUAUUCUUCUGUGCAGAAAAAAAGCAUAUAAGUCAGUUAGUUAACUUCUUAGAUAUUUUAGGACCAAAAAAAAAAAAAAAAAAAA